ACUUCCUGGCGCCGCCGUCCAAGCCUCCCGCUCGGCGCCCCCGGCUCCCGCCCGCCGCCGCCGCCGCCGCCGCCCUACCUGGUGAAGCAGUACUCGCAGUGGUUGCCCCGCUCGUUGACCGUGAGCACGUAGGCAUAGGCCGGGCAGGAGAACAGCAAGUCCCCCACCUGGAAGGGCUGCAGAGCCCGCAGCCCCCGGCCUUUGCCCGGGCUGCAGAAGCGCUCCAGGCCGCCGAGGCCCUCGGCCCUCAUGGUGGCGGCGGGGCGCGGCCGCCGGCUGUGCCCGAGCUGCGGCUCCCGGCGAGCUGUUAUUGGAGACGCGUCACCUAGAGCUGCGGGGGGCGGGGUGGGAGCCGCCCGGCGGACGCGGCGGCGGCUCCCCGCUCCCCGGAAGGGAGGGCGGCCCCGCCCGGGCCUCGCGCGCCCCCGCGGGGAGGGGGACGGGCCCGGCGGCCCCGCCUAGCGCCGCGACCCUCGGCGGCCGCCCCGCGCGCGCUCCGGGCCGUUUCCGGUGUGGCCGCGACAAAGAGCCGCAGCCCCUGUGGCUUCUGCGAGGAGGCGUGAGGCGUGUGCGCCUCCGCGGCGUCUCCACGGAGCGAGCGGGACGCGCCCUCCUCCUCGGUGGGAGGGAGGGGGGUCACCUGCGGGGACCAGGUAUCCGAGGGCCACCCCUAGACAGUCAGCCUGGCCCGAAGGAUGACCAGCCCCCGGUAAAUAGAAGGGGGCGAAGCCAGCUCCGAAACCUUACGUUCGCUGUCCCUUGUAAAGACCCUAGAGGCAGUGAUCGGGGAACGCCAAGGAGAAAGCGGCAGAGGGGAAACCACAGUAGAGAAGUUUGGUGUGCAGAGGGUUGAAGUGUGCUUUUCCAAGGUUAGAGGUUUUUAAACCUUGUGGCUUUAAUGGGAACGUAGUUUGCCCUCUGCUCCUCUAGUGGAAUUACAUGGACGGAAGAGGAAAUGCAUUGGCCGGCCCAGCUCACCGAGUCUCUGAGGCAUGCUGCGAACGUUGCAGAGGAAGCCAGAGAGAACCUUGCCUUCAAGGAAUUUAGGCUGUUGGGGGAUAAUGCGAUGCUGUGGCCAGUGUCCAGGACACUGCGCUAGAGUUUGCAGUAGUUUUAAUAUGCUUGACCACCCACGAACUGUGAUCUUAGAAAAGUCACUUGGGUUAGGAGUCAAAGGAUUUAAAGCCCACAAAGCCUGAAACGUAAAUCCUAUACACAUGCACGCUAUUACUUUUCAUAUGAGAAAGGAAAAUAUAAUCCGUGUUCCACAUGAUUAUGUAAAGACUGGAAUUGAUGUACAUGCAGUAAAGACUAAAAUUGUGACGAGAUCAUUUAGCAGAAACCACUACUUCAAAAUAGGACCUCAAACAGUUACCUGUAAACUUCGACUGACUAUGGCCAGCAACUGGGAUAGAAAGAUGGACAUCAGCCGGCUGUGGUGGCUCACGCCUGUAAUCCCAGCACUUUGGGAGGCCGAGGUAGGC
rnacentral:lncRNA from 1 species